rnacentral:rRNA from 1 species
UACAGAGGUGGCAAGCGUUGUUCGGAAUUACUGGGCGUAAAGGGCGCGUAGGCGGCCUUCUAAGUCAGACGUGAAAUCCCCCGGCUUAACCUGGGAACUGCGUCUGAUACUGGAGGGCUUGAGUGCGGGAGAGGGAUGUGGAAUUCCAGGUGUAGCGGUGAAAUGCGUAGAUAUCUGGAGGAACACCGGUGGCGAAGGCGGCAUCCUGGACCGACACGUGACGCUGAGGCGCGAAAGCUAGGGUAGCAAACGGG